ACGCUAAUCAACUUAUCUGGGGUCAGAGAACAGAAGAGCCACAAUAUUAAACAUAGAGGAUAGGCAGUGGUAGCACAUGCCUUUAAUCCUAGCAUUCCAGAGGCAGAGAUCUACCUGGAUCUCUAUGUGCUCAAGGAUACAGCAAAGCAUGGUGAUUCACACCUUUAAUCCCAGAGAAUGAGCUUUUAAUCCCAGGAAGUAAUGGCACAAAUAGAAAGGUAUAUACGACGUGAAAACCAGGAGUUAAGAUGGUUAAGCUUUUAGGCUUUUGAGCAGCACAGUUCAGCUGAG